CCCUUAGAUGUUCUGGGCUGCACGCGCGCUACACUGGUGCGUUCAGCGAGUUUAGCACCUUAACAGAUAUGUUUGGGUAAUCUUCUGAAAACGCACCGUGAUGGGGAUCGAUUAUUGUAAUUAUUAAUCGUCAACGAGGAAUUCCUAGUAAGUGUGAAUCAUCAGUUCGCGCUGAUUACGUCCCUGCCCUUUGUACACACCGCCCGUCGCUGCCACCGAUUGAGUGGUCCGGUGAAUUAUUCGGACCGGUGGACUGUGGGGAAACCCGCGGCCUGCUGGGAAGUCUUGUGAACCUUAUCACUUAGAGGAAGCAGAAGUCGUAACA
rnacentral:rRNA from 1 species